rnacentral:rRNA from 1 species
GCGGUGGGGAAGCAAACCAGGAUUNAGAUACCCCUUGGUUAGUCCCACCCCCGGUAAACGAUGAGUACUUAGGUGUCGGGGGGGUUUACCCCCCCUCGGGUGCCGGCAAGCUAACGCCAUUAAGUACUCCCGCNUGGAAAGUACGCUCGCAAGAGUGAAACUCAAAAGGAAUUGACGGGGACCCGCACAAGUAGCGGAAGCAUGUGGUUUAAUUCGAAGCAACGCGAAGACCCUUACCUAAGCUUGACAUCCCACUGACCUCUCCCUAAUCGGAGAUUUCCCUUCGGGGACAGUGGUGACAGGUGGUGCAUGGUUGUCGUCAGCUCGUGUCGUGAGAUGUUGGGUUAAGUCCCGCAACGAGCGCAACCCUUGCCUUUAGUUGCCAGCAUUAAGUUGGGCACUCUAGAGGGACUGCCGAGGAUAACUCGGAGGAAGGUGGGGAUGACGUCAAAUCAUCAUGCCCCUUAUGCUUAGGGCUACACACGUGCUACAAUGGGUGGUACAGAGGGUUGCCAAGCCGCGAGGUGGAGCUAAUCCCUUAAAGCCAUUCUCAGUUCGGAUUGUAGGCUGAAACUCGCCUACAUGAAGCUGGAGUUACUAGUAAUCGCAGAUCAGAAUGCUGCGGUGAAUGCGUUCCCGGGUCUUGUACACACCGCCCGUCACACCAUGGAAGUUGGGGGCGCCCGAAGCCGGUUAGCUAACCUUUUAGGAAGCGGCCGUNGAAGGUAAGCCAAUAAAGG